CAUGCGAGGAUGAAGCUCGGUUUGAGCAGGCAUUCCGUUGGCCAAUUGGGAGUCAAGUGGACGGCGACGAGAUGCUGGAGAUUCAAGUGUUUAAUUAUAGCAAAGUCUUCACUAACAGGUUAAUUGGCACUUUCCGCAUGGUUCUGCAGAAGGUGGUGGAGGAGGGUCACUUGGAGGUGUCUGACACUCUUAUUGAUGACAAUAACA